AUGCAGCGCUCGUUGAUGAUGUCGGUGCUGCUAUGCAGCGGUGCUGGAGCUACGACGGGCCGCCGGUGCUACGAUGGAGCACCGCCGCGUCGGUGUCAUGGCUGUAAUGAAGCAUCGCCGGAGCUUCAACGGGCUACCCGCGCUGCGUUGGAGCACUGCCACGCCGCUGUCGCGGUUGCAAUGGAGCAUGGCAGGAGCCGCAACAGGCCGCCGGUGCUGCGUUGGAGCACAACGUGCCGGUGUCGCAGAUGCAAUGAAGUAUUGCCGGAGCUACAAUUGGCCUCCAGUUCUGCGAUGGAGCACCGACGGCCUCGCCGGUGUUGGCGCUGCAGAGCAUGGCAGCGGUGCUAUGAUGAAGCUCGACGGUGGCAGCAAAAAGUGUUGCGGGGAGCUACAUCUUUUUUGUUCCUCUACGUGGUGUUCUUUUUCUUCCUUUUGCUAAUGUGCAUGCCGGGGUAG
rnacentral:rRNA from 1 species